UUUACAAUAGCUCAGUCGGUAGAGCAUGAGACUCUUAAUCUCAGGGAUGUGGGUUCAAGCCCCACAUUGGGCAAAA